rnacentral:rRNA from 1 species
ACUCUACAAUGUAGGCAACUGCGAUAGGGGAACAUCGAGUGGCACCCACCAUGGGUGUCUGUCCAGCCGUCUAAAAAACGGCUGUUAGCAAGGGCCGGGCAAGACCGGUGCCAGCCGCCGCGGUAAUACCGGCGGCUCGAGUGGUGGCCGAUAUUAUUGAGUCUAAAGGGUCCGUAGCCGGCUUUGCAAGUCCCCUAGGAAAUCCAGCGGCUUAACCGUUGGGCUUUCAUGGGAUACUACAUUGCUUGGGACUGGGAGAGGUAGGAGGUACUCAGGGGGUAGGG